GAACUUAUUGGUAUCUCUUGGAAGUUGGCACCAAUGGUGAGUACCUCACUCGCCUCCCCCCUGGAGUCUACAACUGCUCCUUGCCUGUGAAAUAGCAGGUAUCACAGCUUCUGGGUCUGUGACAUUCUCACAUGAGCUCUCAGGAGCCCCUUUUCCACAAACAUGGGAAGGAUGCCCUUACCACAUGGGAGGGUGUGACAUGAGUCUAACUGGCCAUGGAGGACGGCACCACCUGCACCUCCCGCAGUGCGUCCUGGGAGAAGCAUCUGCCCAACAGUGAUUGUUCAGAGUGAUUUUCAGAACAGGAUAGAACACCACGGCUGGUCUCCUUCCUGAGUAAUUACUCCUACAAAUUUUCUGUUUAGGUCUGACAUCAAGCUGGAACAAAACUGUAGAUUAUGUGGAGAUAAGCUGAAUUUGUUAUGGGAUGUUUAUGUAAUUCCACAUAUAAAUGAUUACAAAAGAAAGAGAAUUUCUUGCCUUGUCUUUCCUACUUCAAGCACAUAUGUAUGAGCUGGUGGCUAUUUUCUAUUUGUUAAUAGCUUAUUAAUAAA
rnacentral:lncRNA from 1 species